CGCGUAGGCGGUCUUGUAAGUCGGGUGUGAAAUUCCGGGGCUCAACCCCGAGAACUGCAUCCGAUACUGCUCGACUUGAGAGAGGUAGGGGCGAGUGGAAUUCCCGGUGUAGCGGUGGAAUGCGUAGAUAUCGGGAAGAACACCGGUGGCGAAGGCGGCUCGCUGGACCUUUUCUGACGCUGAAGCGCGAAAGCGUGGGGAGCAAACAGGAUUAGAUACCCUGGUAGUCC
rnacentral:rRNA from 1 species